CAGCCGCCGCGGGAAUACGAAGGGGGCUAGCGUUGUUCGGAAUUACUGGGCGUAAAGCGCACGUAGGCGGACAUUUAAGUCAGGGGUGAAAUCCCGGGGCUCAACCCCGGAACUGCCUUUGAUACUGGGUGUCUAGAGUAUGGAAGAGGUGAGUGGAAUUCCGAGUGUAGAGGUGAAAUUCGUAGAUAUUCGGAGGAACACCAGUGGCGAAGGCGGCUCACUGGUCCAUUACUGACGCUGAGGUGCGAAAGCGUGGGGAGCAAACAGGAUUAGAUACCCCCGUAGUCCCUGUCUCUUAUAC
rnacentral:rRNA from 1 species